AAGUCGUAACAAGGUUUCCGUAGGUGGUUCGCCUACCAAACCAGAGAGUCAGCACCGCUGGCUACACUUCUACUGUGCUGGGAACCACUAACGUGCUACCAGCAGCCCGAGUGAUCGGGUUCACAGGUCAAAUAGACGUGGCCCCGCCUGGGGUUAAGAUAUGAUCGGACUGCACCGUAACCGGCUGCAGAGACUCGGAACCUGCGGAAGGAUCACUAAAGAGAACUUGCCCUUCGGGGUAGAUCUCCCACCCUUUGUUUAUUAUACUUUGUUGCUUUGGCGGGCCUGCCUCACGGCUGC
rnacentral:misc_RNA from 1 species